rnacentral:rRNA from 1 species
ACGGAGGGUGCAAGCGUUGUCCGGAUUUAUUGGGCGUAAAGCACGUGCAGGCGGUCUGGUAUGUCGAGUGUGAAAUCCCGGGGCUUAACCCCGGAACUGCGCUCGAAACUGCCAGUCUUGAGUUCGGAAGGGGGAGAUGGAAUUUCCGGUGUAGGGGUGUCAUCCGUAAAUGUCGGGAAGAAUACCGGUGGCGAAGGCGAUCUCCUGUGCCGAUUCUGACGCUCAGACGUGAAAGCGUGGGUAGCAAACAG